UGAGUAGUAUUAGUUAUGUUCUUGAAACUUAAAAAAUUUGGCGGUAUUUUAGUCUAUUCAGAGGAACCUGUUCUGUAAUCGAUAAUCCACGAUGGACCUUUCUUGCCCUUGAAUUUCAGUUUAUAUACCGUCGUUAUCAGAAUAUUUUAAAAGAAAAAUAAUUUUCAAAAGUUUUUAUUAGAACUUAUAUCAGAUCAAGGUGUAGCUUAUGGGUAAGUAGAAAUGGGUUACAAUAAAAUUAUUUAAAUGGAUGUAAAUAUGAAAAACUUGCUGAAAGUGGAUUUGAUAGUAAAAUUGUAAAGACAAACAAUUUGAUUUUAGCUCUAAAAUAUGCACACAUCGCCCGUCGCUCUUAUUACUAAGAUAAGAUAAGUCGUAACAUAGUAGAUGUACCGGAAGGUGUAUCUAGAAUGACACCCUAAAGCUUAUUAAGUAAAGUAUUUCAUUUACAUUGAAAAGAUUUUUGUGCAAAUCAUUAUAGGAUGAUUAGAAUUUAUUUAUUUAUUUAUUUAUUUAUUAUUUCUAUUUUAUUAAAAAUAAUUGUAACUGAAAAGUUUUAGUAUUGUAUAAAGAAAAAAUAAUAUAAAUUAUAGUGUAUUAGUAUUGUAAAAGAACAUUGAAAUAACUGAAAAA
rnacentral:rRNA from 1 species